rnacentral:rRNA from 1 species
UACGGAGGGUGCAAGCGUUAUCCGGAAUCACUGGGUUUAAAGGGUGCGUAGGCGGUUUGAUAAGUCAGUUGUGAAAUUCCCCGGCUUAACCGGGUGGACUGCGAUUGAUACUGUUGAACUUGAAUCAGGUUGAGGUCGGCGGAAUGUGACAUGUAGCGGUGAAAUGCUUAGAUAUGUCAUAGAACACCGAUUGCGAAGGCAGCUGGCUAGACCUGCAUUGACGCUGAGGCACGAAAGCGUGGGGAGCAAACAGG